rnacentral:rRNA from 1 species
GAUCAUGGCUCAGGAUGAACGCUAGCGACAGGCCUAACACAUGCAAGUCUAGGGGCAGCGGGGAUGUAGCAAUACCUUUGCCGGCGACCGGCGCACGGGUGAGUAACACGUAUGCAAUCCACCUGUAACAGGGGGAUAACCCGGAGAAAUCCGGACUAAUACCCCGUAAUAUGUGCGCUCCGCAUGGAGAGCCCAUUAAAGAGAGCAAUUUUGGUUACAGACGAGCAUGCGCU